rnacentral:rRNA from 1 species
GACGUAGGGCGCGAGCGUUGUCCGGAUUUAUUGGGCGUAAAGAGCUCGUAGGCGGCUUGUCGCGUCGACUGUGAAAACCCACGGCUCAACUGUGGGCUUGCAGUCGAUACGGGCAGGCUAGAGUUCGGUAGGGGAGACUGGAAUUCCUGGUGUAGCGGUGAAAUGCGCAGAUAUCAGGAGGAACACCGGUGGCGAAGGCGGGUCUCUGGGCCGAUACUGACGCUGAGGAGCGAAAGCGUGGGGAGCGAACAGG